rnacentral:misc_RNA from 1 species
GGAUUGGGAAACAGAACUCCAUCGGACGGGGAGCUCUCAUAAGUCACAACAAAGGGAGCUCAAGCACAAAUGGCGGAACGCGGAUUGAGAUGACUUCUAACGCGUAAUUUCUGUGUACUUAUUUUGUUUUUUUCUUUUGUCGCGUUCAGCGCAUGGGGUUGUGAAAUGCUAUGCUUUGUCUGGCAGUCGCAGACCAUUGGCGAUUGUGUGAUCAUGUG